UCACAAGUCGGAACACAGUUUAGAAGAUAAAGACGAUACGCGCGCAGUGAGAAAACUACACGUGAAAAUGAUCAUAUCUCCGAAAGCUGGCAGCGACCGCGUCGCUCACCGGCGUUUCAUCAUACACUUGGACAAGACGCAGAAAAACAGGAUGUCGGUAAAUUUGCGGCACCGCAAUGUGCGGGAAUGAACGUCUACAAUCUGCGUGGAACACGGCGAAGAUAACAUGCACACAUGUGAGCGCGGCGCGCUGCACGGACAGACGCUUUACGGUAGACACACACACACACACACAGGUGCACACACAACUUCUAUUGCUCGCCGCCUCUCGUAUCGCACCGCCUCGCAAGGCGGUACGAUGCAUUAGAACGUUAUAACCGAAGGUGACCGUAGCCAGCUGGCUGAGCGAGGUAAAAAGGCCCUUAGCGCCUGCGCUUCGAUCCGUCAAGUCCCCACAAAUAUGGCGGCGAGCGCCCUACGCCUCUUUUAGUCGUCUGCUAGCCAGAGAACUUCCAGAGAGCAGCCAGACCAAAAUCGUCCUGGCAGGUUCUGGCAGCCCGCGGGUAGCCAGAACCGUCCAGCCCGAGCAAAACGAACGCCCGGCGGAAGUGCGUAACGGGGUGGGCGGAGCAACCCGAGAAAAACGAAGACGCUCUGGCUGGCUCUGGCAGCCCGCGGGUAGCCAGAAGUGGAAAAUCGAAGAAGCCCACUGUUAUGCGUCCCUGCCGUCGGGGCAAGCCCGGACUCGCGCACUAGUUAGCUUCACACUAGCCCCAAAUGUGUCUUACCGCCCUGAUGUCUAUUUGAGUGUUUCUUUUAUGUUUUCUAUUCUCUGUCAUUUAUUUUAAGCCUUUUUAGUUCCAUUAAAAGUUUGUGUGUGUGUUCGAAACCAACGGCUUUGUCCUCAAUUGGGUUCUCGGAGGCUCUGCCUAAGAGAACUGUUAAAACCUUUGAGUACACGAACCGUUGUCGCCAUAUUUGGGCAUCACAACAGUAACAGCCUUCCACUCUUUAAAUUACACCUCUGAUUACUUGUGCGUGCAAGCUAUACCCGUUUUCAUGGAACAUGUAGUCAAUGAAUUGCUGAACUUCUACAUGUAUACGUUUGCUUUCUUCCAUAGUGGUAAUGUGCAUGCACUGAUUGACAGCUUAUGUCCAAUGUUCCUUGCAAAAUGAGCUAAAGAACUGGUUGAAACGCUCAUGAGCAUAAAAUGGCAGCCUGGGAGGUCCCAUCCUAGAAAGGAAAUAUAUUGCCCCAUUUCUAUGCUCAUAAAAUCAUAGUGAACAAGUGAACUAAGGGCAACAGAACCAGUAGCAGUGGUUUCUCACUAGCUCAGAAUACAGAAACAUGGACCUGACACCAUGCGAGAAAAACGAAGCAAACUACAGCCUGCGGAGAGAUGGUUAGGCCGAUAACAGCUUCCUAAAGAAAAAAUUGACUAUGAUAAAUCACAGGCAACUGGCCACACAUCUCCAUGCAAGGAACUGUGUGGGCACUGAUUUACCUGCCCAUCGGGCCUGUUUUACAACAUCUGUCAUGGGCUCCCAACCCUGGUCAUUUCAUGACCACAGGCCAGUGCCACAACCAUCUCCAAGUUCUCUGAGAAAAGUUUAUAAAGCAAGAAAGCCGCAGUGCACCGCAAGGAUUCCAGCUUUCGGCUCAUGGAUUGCCUGUUCACUAUUUUACUUCUCGAUCAUUUCACCAGUGCUAAAGCAGAGACGGUUUAUUUAACGGUUGCUAAUAAGGUGUUUACGUUUUCUCUUCCCCAGCUUAAACUAGCGUGGACGAAAACGCGGGACUCUUUUCAGAAGCGAACUCACUUGUGCGCGCUUUGCCUCCGUGGCUUUCCCUUCAUUGCCACAAAAAGUUGUCCGCGAGAUAUGUGCAGUUCGCUGUUUCGAGAUGGAACGACGAUGGAACAGGCGACCAGGUGCUCCCCUUCGGUACUGUGACCUCCGUCAAGUACCGGGGGAUCCAGAACGAGAGCGCCAAGAAGCUCGUAACCCUCAUCAUGAACCACCUAUAGCAUUCCCCGACAACACCCUACAGUUCGCUGUUUCGAGAUGGAACGACGAUGGAACAGGCGACCAGGUGCUCCCCUUCGGUACUGUGAUCUCCGUCAAGUACCGGGGGAUCCAGAACGAGAGCGCCAAGAAGCUCGUAACCCUCAUCAUGAGCCACCUAUAGAUCUGGUCAGUCGCAGCAUCCUCAUGGAGUUCGCCCUGGAUGCUGGGAAGCAGGUUGGAGACUUCGCGCGUGGUCCAACGACCACCGUGACCUCCACCUUCAAGUGGGUCGACCCAGAAGACGCGAAAAGAGUGAUUAGCUGGGUGAUCUCGAAACUUUAGUUUUGAAAUCUCCCAGCCGAUCACGGCCCUCGAUCGAUGCUCAACAAAAGAACAAAAAAAAUUAAAGUGUGCA